rnacentral:tRNA from 2 species
GCGCUUGUAGCUUAACAGGAGAGAGCGCUGGCCUCCGGAGCCAGAGGCUGUGGGUUCGACUCCCACCAAGCGCG